GGCCAUUGGGGGAGAAAUGACUCGGUAACCGAUGAAUCCUGAGGAAAGGGAAGAGCCCAAGAAUUUGCAGAACCUCCAAGAGAAAGUGUGAAGAAAGGUACACAAAGCAAAAAAAAAGAAAAAGCUAUGACGACAUUUAUAAAAUAAAAAGAGGACCUGAAACACUUGACACAACACCUUAUUCCUCAACCUCUUAUUCUUCUCCUCCCUCCUUAUCAAAAAGCUCUCUCACGCACCGCCUCUAUGCUGCUCUUAUCGGCCAUA
rnacentral:lncRNA from 1 species